UACGGGGGGGGUAAGCGUUGUUCGGAAUUACUGGGCGUAAAGGGCUCGUAGGCGGCUAACUAAGUCAUACGUGAAAUCCCUCAGCUUAACUGGGGAACUGCGUGUGAUACUGGAUGGCUUGGAUUUGGGAGAGGGAUGCGGAAUUCCAGGUGUAGCGGUGAAAUGCGUAGAUAUCGGGAGGAACACCUAUGGCGAAGGCAGCUCGCUGGGACGUUACUGACGCUGAGACGCGAAAGCGUGGGGAGCAAACAGG
rnacentral:rRNA from 1 species